rnacentral:rRNA from 1 species
UUGAACGCUGGCGGCAUGCCUUACACAUGCAAGUCGAACGGCAGCACGGGAGCAAUCCUGGUGGCGAGUGGCGAACGGGUGAGUAAUAUAUCGGAACGUGCCCAGUCGUGGGGGAUAACGUAGCGAAAGCUACGCUAAUACCGCAUACGAUCUAUGGACGAAAGCGGGGGAUCGCAAGACCUCGCGCGAUUGGAGCGGCCGAUAUCAGAUUAGGUAGUUGGUGAGGUAAAGGCUCACCAAGCCGACGAUCUGUAGCUGGUCUGAGAGGACGACCAGCCACACUGGGACUGAGACACGGCCCAGACUCCUACGGGAGGCAGCAGUGGGGAAUUUUGGACAAUGGGCGCAAGCCUGAUCCAGCAAUGCCGCGUGCAGGAUGAAGGCCUUCGGGUUGUAAACUGCUUUUGUACGGAACGAAACGGUAAGCUCUAAUACAGUUUGCUAAUGACGGUACCGUAAGAAUAAGCACCGGCUAACUACGUG